AUUGAACGCUGGCGGCAUGCCUUACACAUGCAAGUCGAACGGCAGCGGGCCUUCGGGUGCCGGCGAGUGGCGAACGGGUGAGUAAUGCAUCGGAACGUGCCAUUGAGUGGGGGAUAACGUAGCGAAAGUUACGCUAAUACCGCAUAUUCUGUGAGCAGGAAAGCAGGGGACCGCAAGGCCUUGCGCUCUUUGAGCGGCCGAUGUCAGAUUAGCUAGUUGGUGAGGUAAAGGCUUACCAAGGCGACGAUCUGUAGCGGGUCUGAGAGGAUGAUCCGCCACACUGGAACUGAGACACGGUCCAGACUCCUACGGGAGGCAGCAGUGGGGAAUUUUGGACAAUGGGCGCAAGCCUGAUCCAGCCAUGCCGCGUGAGUGAAGAAGGCCUGGUUGUAAG
rnacentral:rRNA from 1 species